rnacentral:rRNA from 1 species
GUGGGGAAUAUUGGACAAUGGGCGAAAGCCUGAUCCAGCCAUGCCGCGUGUGUGAAGAAGGUCUUCGGAUUGUAAAGCACUUUAAGUUGGGAGGAAGGGCAGUAAGUUAAUACCUUGCUGUUUUGACGUUACCGACAGAAUAAACACCGGCUAACUUCGUGCCAGCAGCCGCGGUAAUACGAAGGGUGCAAGCGUUAAUCGGAAUUACUGGGCGUAAAGCGCGCGUAGGUGGUUUUGUAAGUUGGAGGUGAAAUCCCCGGGCUCAACCUGGGAACUGCCUCCAAAACUGCAUGACUAGAGUACGGUAGAGGGUAGUGGAAUUUCCUGUGUAGCGGUGAAAUGCGUAGAUAUAGGAAGGAACACCAGUGGCGAAGGCGACUACCUGGACUGAUACUGACACUGAGGUGCGAAAGCGUGGGGAGCAAACAGGAUUAGAAACCCGUGUAGUCC